GCCCACGUAGCUCAGCCGGCAGAGCACCUCAUUGGUAAUGAGGAGGUCACCGGUUCAAAUCCGGUCGUGGGCUCCA
rnacentral:tRNA from 1 species